GAUUGACAGGCAGAGCUGCAAAGAAAAAAUAUUAUUACACAAACUUGAUUUAACUUAUCUUACAAAACUCUCAAAAACUUGAUAACUCAAAUUAUUAUCUCUAAAUUGAUAUCAUUAAUAAACAUCGACUGCAGUGAUAUUUUUACCUCAAGUUAAACGCAACAUCGUUAGACCUACUGAAUAUGAUGAAAAUACUGAUAGUGACUGAUUAUAAUUAUCGCAAGAAUCGCAGGUAAAUGAGUCGAUCCGUGGAUCUCGAACGUGACGCAAGUAAAUAUUAUGGAUAUUCUUUCAUUGCGGUGAUCGUUUCUGCGGUUUCAUGCGUGAUAUCUUCAGUGCAGGUGAUGAUUCGUGACUGAGAUUAUGUUACUCGUUAAGGUCAUGUCAAUCGAGGCUGAUAUUUCGUGUAGCGAAAUGUUCAUCUGCUUCGGGAGAAAUUAAGCAAUGUUUGUGUGAUAUUUUCUGCUAUGCUCAGGUCAGUUAACACUGUACUGAACAUACUUAUUGAUUGUAUAAAUCAAGUAUAAUGUAUGAAGAUCACCAAUAUGGCAGCAUAUGAUUUUCGAAGGGGAGUGUGGGCAGAAUCAGUGAGUUGGUGAGUUGUGAUCAAUGAUUUAGCAAUAAGUGAUUGAAUCAAUGAGUGACUGAAUUGGUAAAUGACUAAAUCAAUACGUGACUGAAUUAAUUAGUGACUAAAUCAAUGAGUGACUGGAUCGAUGCGUGACUGAAUCAAUAUGUGAUUGGAUAACUAAGGAACUGAAUCAAUAUGUGACUGAAUCAAUACGCGACUGAAUCAAUGAAUGACUGAAUCAAUAUAUGACUGAAUCAAUAAGUGACUGGAUCACUAAGGGACUGAAUCAAUAAGGGAUUGAAUCAAUAUGUGACUGUAUCACUAAGGGACUAAAUCAAUACGUGACUGAAUCAAUGGGUGACUGGAUCACUAAGGGACUGAAUCAAUAAGUGAUCGAAUCAAUAAGUAACUGAAUCAAUACGUGACUGAAUCAAUGGGUGACUGGAUCACUAAGGGACUGAAUCAAUAAGUGACUGGAUCACUAAAGGACUGAACCAAUACGUGACUAGAUCACUAAAAGGUUGAACCAAUAAGUGACUGAAUCAAUACGUGACAGAAUCAGUACGCGACUGAAUCAAUAAGUGACUGGAUCACUAAGGGACUGAAUCAAUAAGUGAUUGAAUCAAUACGUGACUGAAUCAAUACGUGACUGAAUCAAUGGGUGACUGAAUCAAUACGUGACUGAAUCAAUACGUGACUGAAUCAAUACGUGACUGAAUCAAUACGUGACUGAAUCAAUACGUGACUGAAUCAAUACGUGACUGAAUCAAUACGUGACUGAAUCAAUACGUGACUGAAUCAAUACGUGACUGAAUCAAUACGUGACUGAAUCAAUACGUGACUGAAUCAAUACGUGACUGAAUCAAUACGUGACUGAAUCAAUACGUGACUGAAUCAAUACGUGACUGAAUCAAUACGUGACUGAAUCAAUACGUGACUGAAUCAAUACGUGACUGAAUCAAUACGUGACUGAAUCAAUACGUGACUGAAUCAAUGAAUGACUGAAUCAAUAUGGGACUGAAUCAAUAAGUGACUGGAUCACUAAAGGACUGAAUCAAUAAGUGACUAGAUCACUACAGGGUUGAUCCAAUAAGUGACUGGAUCACUAAGAGAUUGAAUCAAUAAGUGACUGGAUCACUAAAGGGUUGAACCAAUAAGUGACUGGAUCACUAAUGGACUGAAUCAAUAUGUGACUGAAUCAAUACGUGACUGAAUCAAUGAAUGACUGAAUCAAUAUGUGACUGAAUCAAUAAGUGACUGGAUCACUAAGAGACUGAAUCAAUAAUUGACUGAAUCAAUAUGUGACUGAAUCAAUAUGUGACUGAAUCAAUAAGUGACUGGAUCACUAAAGGAUUGAACCAAUAAGUGACUGAAUCAAUAUGUGACUGAAUCAAUAAAUGACUGAAUCACUAAAGGAUUGAACCAAUAAGUGACUGAAUCAAUAAGUGACUGGAUCACUAAGCGACUGCAUCAAUAAGUGACUGGAUCACUAAAGGGUUGAACCAAUAAGUGACUGAAUCAAUACGUGCCUGAAUCAAUAAGUAUCUCCGGAAGUCUCCGACGUCUGCGCUCGGUGCUACCGCUCCCUGGACGAUUCGACGGUACAUGUUCCGGUGUUGGCCAGGAACUAAGACUCGAACAGGAAUCACCGACAUCGCUGAACACGCUGUCUCGACCACCAUGACCGGAAAUAGUGGUGCUACCUCCACCAGGACCCGGUCCACCGACGCCUGCCGAUCGACCCCUGCUGCUCAGUCCACCGAACAAGCUAAUGUCACCCAAGGGUAGUCGUGUAGUGAGCUAAGCUACCUUUUGUCAUGCCGUUCAGAGU